UGCAUAUUCACAAGAACCUGGAGAGUGCCUAGAGAACGCACUGGGGAGCCAAAGAUGUCGCCCAAGACUGGUCUAGGUCUAAGCUCUCUGUGACGUUAGCAACAUCUCUGCUCCUCUGCGAAGCUCUCAGGUCCUGGAAGGCCAGUUGCAAACCUGCCAUUAUCCAAGUCCUGAGAGUUCCAGGGGGAUUGUCAACGGUAGGGGGGACAGCUUGGCCCUGAGCCUCCAGAACCCACUUCCGGGGACUCCGGCACACAUGUGUGGGCCCCCCAGUCAUCCACAGCCCAUGGCAGGCACCUUGGACAAGAGGUGACCACCUACAUAAACAGAUGAACUUGAGACUUCUUGCGCAGUGACCAGCUGGAGUACAGAUACAACGCACCGAUAACCUGCACACUUAAUAAUGGACAGACACGGCUGUGUCUAGUAAGAAUCUUCGUGUGUUGUGUGCUGUAAUGGACGUACUUCAUGCACUUGUGUGAAAUAAAAAAACA